CUGGCGGCAUGCCUAACACAUGCAAGUCGAACGGCAGCACGGUGUGUAGCAAUACAUAUGGGUGGCGAGUGGCGGACGGGUGAGUAGAAAGUAGGGAUCUGCCUUGUAGAUUGGGAUAACUUGGGGAAACUCGAGCUAAUACCGGAUAAGCACUAAGGUGGAAAGCAAGGGACCGCAAGGCCUUGCGCGAGAGGAGCGGCCGAUGCCGGAUUAGCUAGUUGGUGGGGUAACGGCCUACCAAGGCGACGAUCCGUAGCUGGUCUGAGAGGACGACCAGCCACACUGGGACUGAGACACGGCCCAGACUCCUACGGGAGGCAGCAGUGGGGAAUUUUGGACAAUGGGGGCAACCCUGAUCCAGCCAUGCCGCGUGUGUGAAGAAGGCCUUCGGGUUGUAAAGCACUUUCGGACGGAACGAAAUCGCGCGGGUUAAUAGUCCGCGUGGAUGACGGUACCGUAAGAAGAAGCACCGGCUAACUACGUGCCAGCAGCCGCGGUAAUACGUAGGGUGCGAGCGUUAAUCGGAAUUACUGGGCGUAAAGUGUGCGCAGGCGGCCGCGCAAGUCGAGUGUGAAAUCCCCGAGCUUAACUUGGGAAUUGCGCUCGAAACUACGUGGCUGGAGUGUGGCAGAGGAAGGUGGAAUUCCACGUGUAGCGGUGAAAUGCGUAGAGAUGUGGAGGAACACCGAUGGCGAAGGCAGCCUUCUGGGCCAACACUGACGCUCAUGCACGAAAGCG
rnacentral:rRNA from 1 species